AGUGAACGCUGGCGGUAGGCCUAACACAUGCAAGUCGAACGGCAGCACAGUAAGAGCUUGCUCUUACGGGUGGCGAGUGGCGGACGGGUGAGGAAUACAUCGGAAUCUACUUUUUCGUGGGGGAUAACGUAGGGAAACUUACGCUAAUACCGCAUACGACCUACGGGUGAAAGCAGGGGAUCUUCGGACCUUGCGCGAUUGAAUGAUCCGAUGUCGGAUUAGCUAGUUGGCGGGGUAAAGGCCCACCAAGGCGACGAUCCGUAGCUGGUCUGAGAGGAUGAUCAGCCACACUGGAACUGAGACACGGUCCAGACUCCUACGGGAGGCAGCAGUGGGGAAUAUUGGACAAUGGGCGCAAGCCUGAUCCAGCCAUACCGCGUGGGUGAAGAAGGCAUUCGGGUUGUAAAGCCCUUUUGUUGGGAAAGAAAAGCAGCAGGUUAAUACCCCGCUGUUCUGACGGUACCCAAAGAAUAAGCACCGGCUAACUUCGUG
rnacentral:rRNA from 1 species